UUGUACGAGAAAUUCUAACAGCACAGACUUUAAAAAUAAGGGCAGAAAUCCUCAGCCAUUUUGUGAAAAUAGCCAAGAAACUUCUAGAACUCAACAACCUUCAUUCUCUCAUGUCUGUGGUGUCAGCAUUACAAAGUGCUCCCAUCUUCAGGCUGACAAAAACCUGGGCUCUUUUAAAUCGAAAAGACAAGACUACUUUUGAGAAAUUGGACUACCUGAUGUCGAAAGAAGAUAAUUACAAGCGGACACGGGAAUAUAUCCGAAGCCUGAAGAUGGUUCCAAGUAUUCCCUAUCUAGGAAUCCAGCUGCUCUGUGUUUGGCAGUCUUGUGAAGAGGCCCGUGUGGCAUGGGAUUGAGACCUGCCAACAACCAUGUGAGGGAGUUUGGAAGAAGAUUCUGCUUAAAAGCAGCCCCAGCCAACAGCUUGACUGAAGUCUCAUCAGAGACCUUAAGCCAGAGACACCCAGCUAAGACAUGCCCAAAUUCCCAAUCCACAGAAACUGCAAGAUAAUAAAUGUUUAUUGUAAGA
rnacentral:sRNA from 1 species